AGAGUUUGAUCAUGGCAGAGUUUGAUCAUGGCUCAUAUUGAACGCUGGCGGCAGGCCUAACACAUGCAAGUCGAACGGUAACAUUUCUAGCUUGCUACAAGAUGACGAGUGGCGGACGGGUGAGUAAUGCUUGGGAACUUGCCUUUGCGAGGGGGAUAACAGUUGGAAACGACUGCUAAUACCGCAUAAUGUCUACGGACCAAACGGGGCUUAGGCUCCGGCGCCAACAGAGGCCCAAGUGAGAUUAGCUAGUUGGUAAGGUAAAGGCUUACCAAGGCAACGAUCUCUAGCUGUGCUGAGAGGAAGAUCAGCCACACUGGGACUGAGACACGGCCCA
rnacentral:rRNA from 1 species